ACACCGAGUUGAAAUUCCAACUGU
rnacentral:misc_RNA from 1 species